rnacentral:lncRNA from 1 species
ACAGUUAAUGAACGGAUGUUGAUACAUUAUUAACUAGAGUUUGUACUUGAGUCAGAGGGCCUUGGUUUUUACCAUUUCCUCAUCCUGGAUUCCAUCCUUCGUCCUUUUGGCUGUGACAGUUUCUCAGACUCACCUUGCUUUUGAUGCCCGUGACAUUUUUGAGGAGUACCGAUAAGGUAUUUUAUACAAUGUCCCUCAUUUGGGAUUUGUCUGAUGUUUUCUCACAAUUAGACUCGGAUGAGGAGUUUUUGGCACUGAACACAGUCCACCCUUAAUUAGAAGGAGUUUUGCUUCGAGUCUUUGGAGCCCUGCAAAGUAGCACAGGUGAUCUGUCUACUCUCCUCCACUAAUUUAUUCCGUAACUUGUUUCCAUCAGCAGGGGCUUGUGGCUAUUCCACACUUGGAGUUAUAAUCCAGUAACACUUUGUUUUGUGGCUCAGGUUGUUUCCGUUUGGGCCAUCGGGAACUCUUUCAUUUGGCGCCUGUGUUCCUUUGACAUACCUACAACACUGUGAAUUUUUUUUUAAGCAUUAUCUUACUUCCUAGCUGCACAAGGGGCUCAGCCUCAUGUUUUUGCACAUUUCCUGCUGGAAUCCGAGAAGGAGCCCUUUCUCCAAGGGGCCCUGGUUCCUGUCACUGGAGAAUGGUCUCAGAAGCGGAGGUCCGGCUUGGAGGUGUCCACCGCGCCUGGAGAGGGCCCGAGGGCCGCAGGAGGCGUGAAACAGCAAGGGAGCCACCUGAGCCCUCGCUGUUGCCGGUGGUUUUGAUUUCCUUUGAUUUCCCGGCCUCAUCUCGCGGUCCUGGGCGGAAAGGCGACCCGCAGUUAAAAGGCGAGAGGCGCCGCAGCGCCCGCAGCAAGAGGAAGCGUCCGGGAACCUCUGCGGCAGCGCGUGAGUUGGGCAGCGCUCCUCGCCCGCUACCCUCCCAGCCGCUGGCGGGUCCCAGAGUCAUCCAGCAAGAGACCGAUGGCCAGUGUGAGGCCUGAUAUCCCUACUCAUGCUAGUCAACAUUCUGUGGACACCUGUGAUCCUUCUGGAACCAUUCCAAAGCCUUGGAAUCUCAUCAUGAACAGCUAAAACUGUGAGUAAGCAUCUGGCUGAAUCAGGGGCAGCUCUUGCGGGGAGGGGGGAGCAGGGAAACAACCAUCCUGCUGCUUGGUGCACUCGUUCCACAGCUGGCCCUAAUGAGCCAUUUAUUUGUUGACCUUGGACUAGUUGCUGAAGAAUGAUGGAUGGAGAAGCAUCCACUGGGGGGACUGUGAAGGCAGCUUUCUCUCCUGAGUAAUGAUCUGUUCUUUCAAGGCAGCUGUGCUUUCAACCCAAGGUCUCUGACCCAAGUAGAAGCAUCAGUGCAAUAAAUGCAUUAAGAAGCCAAGGCCA